rnacentral:lncRNA from 1 species
CAGUUAAGGUAGGAAAAAAAGGAGAAAUGUUAAGUCUUGAUGCUAGGCUAGUCAAAGGAAAGUGUGCUUUCUGGGACAAAAGCCGAUCUUCUUAAUUGCGUUGGUUACCAACUUACCAUCAUGUGUAUCUGCCGAUAUGGCCCAAUAUGCUGUGUACUUUAGUCCUAGAAUUAGGUACUUGCUAUGCAUAGCCCAAGCACAUAUGAUGAAUCUUCCGCAUUCAUCCAUCUAAAUUGGUUAGUCCGCUUCAAGGAUUUUCGCUCAGGAGAAGAUGAGGGUGGAUGGGCCACUUAAAAUGUAGGAUCCACUUAGUUAUAUGUAGGCUGUAGAUUUCAGGCCCUACUACAAUAGUUUCUGGUCAAUUUAUAAUGCCAUAAAACUCAAAUCUGUUUAAUGUAAUGUACAGUUGUACACUAAUUAACUACUGUGCAGAAGGCUAUAUGGAAAGCUGUAAUAACUUUGUAACUGUGAAGUCCCUUCAAUCUUCAUAGCGUUUUGCUGAACUAUUUCACGUUCCUGUCUCUGUUUUCAGGUUUAUUCUGUUCUCUCACGAGAUGCAACUCGAAGCACAAUGUAUCUUAAGCAAUGGAGUUGAAGUUCUCUGGCUGCCUAUUUUACUCCAGCCUGCACCUACCUGAGAGACUCGGACAAGUAGUUACUAAUGUAUGAAUGUGGAGAAAAGCUGUGUGCAUCCUUCAGGCCCGUUCGGAACCUCUCAACUCAUCAAUGUUGGAGCUGCUAGACAAGUCAUCGUUGAGCCUGCUGGCAGCCGUCCCUCCAGGGAAGCCCUUGCCUAUGUUGGAUGUGGCGGUAUUACGGGUAGAUCUUCGUUGUAUGUAUGGAUCCUUGUGAAGCUGGUGCUAACACCAUGUCGAUUUUUCGCUUCGGAUUGUAGCUCUUUUUGGAAAGGAAGUUUGCAGCGUUCUGUAGCACGAGAUGUACAUGAGUAUCGGCAGGUUCGUUUCUAGUCUGAACGUGCAGACCUUUCGUAAAUGUUCGAAACAAGGGCUAAUGUAGUGGUACAAUGAUGUGUGUUGAGUGCUGAAGCAUUUCUAUGUCGACGCUGCUGCUGAGAGCAUGUCUUAUUCGCAGUCGGGGCAAAAUGUUAUUCCGGCCUCGACUUUCUUCUGCUGCUGCUUUUUUAUGUGUUUUUGUUUGUUUGCAGGAUUUUUUUUAACGAAACAGAGGCCCCCACCUCUGAUUUCUAUUAUUAAAGAAGCCAUCUGAUGGAAAAUUUGCAUCUGGUCCUGAGCACAGCUGAUCCUGAAAUCACGUUCGAUGACUCUUCUGGGGAUGCAUGCGUUUUCUGUAUUCCAUACUGUAUGCGACAAGCAUAUUGCCAUAGUAUUUCAGGGCAGGGCCCACGCAUUAAUUUGCUGCUCAGCCACUCCGUCAGACCAGUACAGGAUACUCGUGGAUGGAUCAGGUUUCUUCCUGCGUCUCCCUGUUCCGGUGCGACACUGCGUGUUGACGAACGCAGUGAACGGCAACCUACCAGCCGGUGGGGUGGAUAAGUAAUCGUAGGUCCCAGUCCCCACCCCUCCAGACUCGAGAAAAAUCCAUCCCUGCCGCCGCCGCUACCUGCCGGUUGUUCUUCAUCGUGCGCAUAGGCCACAUACACCCACGUAGGCCAAUUUGACAGGGAACAAGUGCAGCCAAAUUAGUGAAUCAACCAAACUAGUGCAGCUCGCAUAACGCACACAACACUAGAAUUAGCACGGCCGACGAUGCUUGUCUAACAGAAAGACACAAACUACAGCAGUGUGUAUUAGCCGAUGAUUACUAGAAGUGUACAAAAAGACACAGGAUUCAGUAAACUCAAUGUUUUGCUUGGUUUCUUGCUCAUUCAAAAAGUGUACAGAAAGAAACAAGACAUAAGAUUCAGUGUACAGCCAGAGAACCCUCAAAAUUAUUCUGAAACAUGAUGCCCAUUCAGUAAACUCAACAUUGUAAACAUGAUGCCCAAUCAGUAAACUCAACAGGAUUACAAACUACUGCUUAGUUUCUUGCUUCCUGCUGUUUUGCUUGGAAGACUUGGCCUGGCACAAAAUGGAAAUAGGUUGAUUGUCAGUGAGAUGAACAAGAGAACUGAUGCAUUGGCAGAUGGUUAUUGGCAUGAUCGAAAAUAUUGUAGACAGAUGGUCAUGCUCACAUAUUUGAAUCCAGAUGGUAAAUAAUUAUUUGUGCAAACCAAAUUUAAUUCGAGCAUGAGGUUUGGAGAUUGUUUCUCUUCUAGGAUGUGAAUUCACAGAUAAUUCUGUACUUGGAAAUCACCAUAUGAAUGCUCAACUAUACUAUGUCUUCACAAAAGGCAGUUUAAUUAGCAGAAGAGUUUUGAAUAAAGUGUACUAGGAUCUUAUAUUUUAACUCGUGUAUAUCUUUUUUUAGAUCGGUUGCUGUAUAAUUUGAAAGGUUUGCACUUUUUCUUGAAGAGAAAAGGAUGUGUGGCUUAAUAUGGCUACUACCUGAAAAAGACUUCCACAAGUAUGACUAGGAUUGAUAUGGACAGUUAAACUUCUCACAUAUUUACCUGUUAGGUGCGAAAAGCAAUUAAGUUCAGAACACUGGCCUCCCCCUCAAGUGUCGGGCAUUAGCAAGUACUGAUUCCAAUCUUACUAUUUUCUAAGUUAGCUAUCAGUUUGACAAUUUCCCAGCAGCUUUAAGAAGUCAUACAGAAAACUUGAGUAAGAUACGAGAUAGAAAUCUACUGUAUGUUGUGCAAGUUCCCGAGCAAUUGCAAUGAAAUGAUUAAGGAAAGAGCAAGCUGUCAAGUUGUCCAUCCGCGAACAAUUAGCAAAGUUUACUGUCUGAACAGCUGUAUAGAUCUACAAUUGUUUUUUGAAUGGAGUGGGAUGACAGGAACUUUAUGACAAGUACCUUGUAUGCUUUUAGCACUAACUAGACCCUAUCAAAAGAAUCUGAGCAGUGCCCUGAAAAAAGGAUUCAAAGGUUCAGUUCUCACUGGACUCAAAAUACCAGCAUCCUGGUUCUCACUGGAUUCAAUGGUUCAGUUCUCACAAAUCACCAAUACUGCCUUGUUGAUUUUUCUAGGACUAGUGACUGCAGAAUCGUUUGUUUCUAGAAAACAAAUUAGCCAAGAAUAAUAUCAUUUGACCACUGAACCAUCACAUAAACAAGGUUGUUUUCUGAAAACAGACACUACAUAUGCAAUUCACACUACAGAAGUUCAGAGUAAUUCUUAAGCAUGUAAUGGUACUUGAAAAAAGAUAUGUAUUUGCUAAAGCAUGUACAACAGUACAAGUUACAUUUUUGAGUGCCUUUUGAGAUGCUAAAGCAUGUGUAAUUGAAUUUUUUUGAGGUCAUUAGCAUUUGAACACUUCCAUAAUUCUGAUGGGAAUACCUUGGUGAGGAUCUUGAUGAGGCUUUUCUCUUGGAAUCCUUCGUUCUUGGAGGAUCUUGAUGGGGGCCUUUCGGAUGUGGACGGCGACCGAACAACAGCUCCAGUGUCCGAGGGAGGCAGGGCAGGAAGAACAUCUUCAGUUCGUGAGGUAUCUCGCUUGAUCCUGCUUUCCUCAUCACCUUGUACUCGGUAGGUAAAUUCUGGAUCGUUCCGUUGUAUCCCUUUGAAUACAGCUAGUGUCUUAUUUCCAUCAUCGUCAGUCUGGUCUUGACUUAUCCGGCCACACAGAUUGCGCAACGUCCGUUUUGUUGAAGGCACAUUCUGGGUUGAACCAAAGAAGCUGCCAACCAUGUUGUGCCUUGUUCAAGUUCACAUUGUACACAUUUAUGUGCUUGUGGAUGGCCAAUGAACUUUCUCACCGCAAGUAAGAGACAGUGAAUGGUUGUGGCUUGACCAGUGUUCAGCAAUGAGCCAUCAUUGUCUGCACCUGUAAGUAAUCUCAUCAUUGCAGGGCACUCGCACCGGUAAGAUCGGUUAUUUUGCUGCUCAGGCUUCCCCUGCAAAAAAAAUGUUUUCUCCGUGUCAAAUUUUAAAAAUGAAUUCCCGUGCAAUCAAUAUGUUAAAAAACUGCCAAAUCUUUUCUUUUCGGCUCUUAACUCUUAAGUGCUAACUGAGCAUCCAUAAACAAUCUCCUGCAUACACUUUGUCCGCUCGAUGUUCAGCCAUCCCUUGCCAUAUCGUAUAUCAAAUCCAAGCUCCCAAGAAUACAGGUUAUAGAAAUCGUAUGCUUCCCCGAGUGAGUCAAAACUCAUCCCAAUCUCUGGCUUCACUACAUUGUCUGAGAGUUUAUCAGCGUACCUCCUGAUUGUUUCUUCUAAUGGAGUGACUAUACCUGGAUAGGGUACCCUGUCUGGAGGGUCACGUCCUACUCUCAAGUCUUAACCUGAAAUUGAAUUCACAGUUUUGAGAUGAUGCAAUCCUUUCACAUAUAACAGUGGGGCGUGAUUUUUGUGCAUCAGCACAUUUGGACGUAAUGAUCUGUCCACAAACCGCUAUGUAUGCUAAUUACGCGCAUGGAUGAGGAUGACGACCAAAAUCAGGGGGUCAGCUAGUUGACAGUAGUAGUAAUGUCCCUGGACAUCUAUCAACACAGGCACUAAAAAUAAAAAUAAAACAUGAAUCCAGAGAGAAAGAACAUUGAAUUUUAUGUAUACCAUCUGGUUCACCCAGGUGCCUCUGGGUUCACCUUCCCGGUCGACUCACGGGCUAGGUUUGCUAUUGCUUCCUCCUGCCAGCGUGAUCGUUCUGCUCAGCAACGCCGCCAAGUUGUCCAACCACACCCGCACACGACGAGUCAGCGUUUGCCGGUGCGGGUGGCUCAACGGACGUCAACACCAAUGGAUCUGGCUGCUCAACAUCCGCAGUGACCUCUCUGAGCGGGAGCCUAUGGCAUGUUCAACAAACCGAAGACCAGUCAUUGACUAUUUCCGCUCACGCGUCUUCGGAUCGAAUCGAACAGAAUAAUACGGUGGAGAAAUUACCUGUCAAUCAGAUCCAGCAGAUAUCCGAGCCCAUUGUGGCGUAGGUCCGCAAACUCCGCCAUAUUGCUCGCCGCCACCAUUGAUUUGCCCUCCGCCGUCGAGCUAGGGGGAAGGGCUCAACUGAGUAGAUGGGAACCGAGGUGUGUUUUUUUUCUUAAAGCUGACCGAGAUAUUUUUGCUGCCCCACGCUUCAUCUGCCGUCAGCGUUUACUGAACCUUGACGGUGAUGUUUUUGCAGCAAACGGCGCGCAUACGUUUCUGAUCCCCGCACAUCUUUUCGUUACGGAGGCGAGCCACGGCGUCAAGGUAACCUGAAUUUCAAUAAACGAGCCCGCAGGCUACCGUACAUCACUGUUCCUCAUAGUAUAGCGUCAGAUGGCUGCAUUUUCUUACACCCGUAUAUCCUAAAGAUGGACCCAUUAGUCUAGAUCUCUAGAGAUGGACCUAGGGCCAGGAUAACAUGUCCAGAUGCCACCCCUACCAGUAACGCCACUCUCCCAUCUGAUUCAUUACAUAGACCUACUCAAAGAACUACCAGCAUAUCAUCAUCAAAAGCCUGAAAGCAAACCCGCUAAACAGGCAGCAAACACCAGACUCCAUACUCACAUUGCAUGGCAAUGAAACAUCACCAUACUUGUAUUACAUGCCCAUGAAACAUCACCAGACCAUGCGACACUGGAGUAGCUAUGAGGCAGCAAAAGAGAACUCAUGCAUCCAAGAGCAAGAUCACCAUAGAAGCUGCAAAGGAGGUCGAAGUUGAAGAAGCUUCAGCCAUGGAGCUGAAAAACUCCAGGAUGCCACCCUUGAGAUGCUCGGCAAACUUCACUUACAUGCUCUAUGAUUUUUGCUCCCAGCAUCAACACCUUUUGACUUUCCUCCUUUAUCUGCCACAAGGCCCAACAUUAUCCAAUGACUAGUCAUUUUUAUCAAUAUAACAGAAUCAUUACUGACCAUCCUUUCAAAUACUAUGUCAUUUCUACAUCUCAAAAUUAUCCAAAAUAUAGCAGCAACACGGAGGGGAACUUUUGGUCUAUGGGGACAUAUGCACCCUAUAUGGGAAAAAAAAUUAGUAAUUCAACAAAAAGUCAAAAAUUCCUGAAAAUAUUUUUAAAAUAAACUUGACCUUCUAUUGUACUCGUGAGCUGCUAGACAAGUCAUCGUUGAGCCUGUUGGCAGCCGUCCCUCCAGGGAAGCCCUUGCCUACGUCGGAUGUGGCGGAUCUUCGUUGUAUGUAUUUAUCCUCGUGAAGCUGGUGCUAACACCAUGUCGAAUUUUCAAUUAGGAUUGUAGCUCUUUUUGGAAAGGAAGUUUGCAGCGUUCUGUAGCACGAGAUGUACAUGAGUAUCAGCAGGUUCGUUUCUAGUCUGAACGUGCGGACCUUUUGUAAAUGUUCACUUCAAAACAAGGGCUAAUGUAGUGGUACAAUGCUGUGUGUUGAGUGCUGAAGCAUUUCUAUGUCGACGCUGCUGCUGAGAGCAUGUCUUAUUCGCAGUCGGGGCAAAAUGUUAUUCCGG